rnacentral:rRNA from 1 species
AAUCAACGCUGGCGGCGUGCCUCAGACAUGCAAGUCGAACGAGAAAGUCCCCUUCGGGGGAUAAGUAAAGUGGCGCACGGGUGAGUAACACGUAGGUAAUCUACCUUCGGGUGGGGAAUAACCCAGGGAAACUUGGGCUAACACCGCAUAAUGCAGCGGCACCACAUGGUGACAGUUGUUAAAGCGGGGGGAUUUUCGGACCUCGCGCCUGAAGAGGAGCCUGCGGCGGAUUAGCUAGUUGGUAAGGAACGGCUUACCAAGGCAACGAUCCGUAGCCGGCCUGAGAGGGCGGUCGGCCACACUGACACUGACAUACGGGUCAGACUCCUACGGGAGGCAGCAGUCGGGAAUUUUCGCAAUGGGGGCAACCCUGACGAAGCAACGCCGCGUGGGGGAUGAAGGUCUUCGGAUUGUAAACCCCUUUCGGGAGGGGAAGAUGGGAAUGGGGUAACCCAUUCGGACGGUACCUCCAGAAGCAGCCACGGCUAACUUCGUGCCAGCAGCCGCAGUAAG